AUCAUGGCUCAGAACGAACGCUGGCGGCAUGCCUAACACAUGCAAGUCGAACGGGAUCCGAGCUUCGGUUCGGUGAGAGUGGCGGACGGGUGAGUAACGCGUGGGAACCUGCCCAGUGGUGGGGGAUAACUGCGGGAAACUGCAGCUAAUACCGCAUGAGCCCGAGAGGGGAAAGAUUUAUCGCCAUUGGAGGGGCCCGCGUUCGAUUAGGUAGUUGGUGAGGUAACGGCUCACCAAGCCUUCGAUCGAUAGCUGGUCUGAGAGGAUGAUCAGCCACACUGGGACUGAGAUACGGCCCAGACUCCUACGGGAGGCAGCAGUGGGGAAUAUUGGACAAUGGGGGCAACCCUGAUCCAGCAAUGCCGCGUGAGUGAUGAAGGCCUUCGGGUUGUAAAGCUCUUUUGCCAGGGACGAUGAUGACGGUACCUGGAGAAUAAGCCCCGGCUAACUUCGUG
rnacentral:rRNA from 1 species